rnacentral:tRNA from 3 species
CGGGGCGUAGCGCAGUUGGUAGCGCGCCUGGUUUGGGACCAGGAGGUCGGGAGUUCGAAUCUCCCCGCCCCGA